rnacentral:rRNA from 1 species
CACACAGGUGCUGCAUGGCUGUCGUCAGCUCGUGUCGUGAGAUGUUGGGUUAAGUCCCGCAACGAGCGCAACCCUCGUCCUAUGUUGCCAGCGGGUCAUGCCGGGACUCAUGGGAGACUGCCGGGGUCAAACUCGGAGGAAGGUGGGGAUGAUGUCAAGUCAGCAUGGCCUUUAUAUCCUGGGCUACACACACGCUACAAUGGCCAACACAAUAGGUUGCUAAGCCGCGAGGUGGCGCCAAUCCAUAAAGUUGGUCUCAGUUCAGAUUGUAGGCUGCAACCCGCCUGCAUGAAGAUGGAGUUGCUAGUAACCGCAGGUCAGCUAUACUGCGGUGAGUACGUUCCCGGGGCUU